GGAUCCAGACUUUGAUUAUGGCUCAGGAUGAACGCUAGCUACAGGCUUAACACAUGCAAGUCGAGGGGAAACGAUAUUGGAAGCUUGCUUCCGAUAGGCGUCGACCGGCGCACGGGUGAGUAACGCGUAUCCAACCUGCCCAUCACUUGGGAAUAACCUUGCGAAAGUAAGACUAAUGCCCAAUGACAUUUAUAGAAGGCAUCUGAAAUGAAUUAAAGAUUUAUCGGUGAUGGAUGGGGAUGCGUCUGAUUAGCUUGUUGGCGGGGUAACGGCCCACCAAGGCGACGAUCAGUAGGGGUUCUGAGAGGAAGGUCCCCCACAUUGGAACUGAGACACGGUCCAAACUCCUACGGGAGGCAGCAGUGAGGAAUAUUGGUCAAUGGGCGAGAGCCUGAACCAGCCAAGUAGCGUGCAGGAUGACGGCCCUAUGGGUUGUAAACUGCUUUUAUGGGGGAAUAAAGUGAGCCACGUGUGGUUUUUUGCAUGUACCCUAUGAAUAAGGACCGGCUAAUUCCGUGCCAGCAGCCGCGGUAAUACGGAAGGUCCGGGCGUUAUCCGGAUUUAUUGGGUUUAAAGGGAGCGUAGGCCGGAGAUUAAGCGUGUUGUGAAAUGUAGAUGCUCAACAUCUGAACUGCAGCGCGAACUGGUUUCCUUGAGUACGCAUAAAGUGGGCGGAAUUCGUGGUGUAGCGGUGAAAUGCUUAGAUAUCACGAAGAACUCCGAUUGCGAAGGCAGCUCACUGGGGCGCAACUGACGCUGAAGCUCGAAAGCGCGGGUAUCGAACAGGAUUAGAUACCCUGGUAGUCCGCGCGGUAAACGAUGGAUGCCCGCUGUUGGGCCAACUGGUUCAGCGGCCAAGCGAAAGCAUUAAGCAUCCCACCUGGGGAGUACGCCGGCAACGGUGCAACUCAAAUGAAUUGACGG
rnacentral:rRNA from 2 species